GACAAGCAUUCAGUUCAGUGCUGUGAGGGAUGUAAAGAUAUAUGACAUAGGGUCCUUCUCCUGAGGACUUUGGAAAAAAUAUACUUUUGACUGGGGAUGGGAGAGGAUUACAGGGUUAUGUUGGAGAAUUCCAUUUCUUCUGGAAAAAGUGAUGUUUGCUAGGACUAACAGCAGGUUUAACAGAAAAGCAAAUCACACAUCUUCAAUAGUAGCAGUUAAAACUUCAAAGUACCAAAACUGUUUACGUUCAUAGGAAAAAGAAGACUAAGAAAACUAAUGAUCUUCUAUAUGCAGUUCAAAAGGAGGCCUCUCAAAUUACCAAGGUAUCAUGAGAUAAAGGCCACUGUCCAGAUGACUUUGAUGUGUGGCAUUUCCUUCUCAACACCAAGUUUCUGGCAUCACUGGAACAGAAAUAAUCAUGGAGACAUCCACAUCAGCUCCUCAGCAGCUAAGUCUCAAAGUAAGUCUUUUUGUUUUGUUUUGUUUUGUUUUUUGAGAUGGAGUCUCGCUCUGUCACCCAGGCUGGAGUAUAGUGGCUUGAUCUUGGCUCACUGCAAGCUCCACCUCCCGGGUUCACACCAUUCUCCUGCCUCAGCCUCCCAAGUAGCUGGGACUGCAGGCACCUGCCACCACGCCCAAGUAAUACUUUUUUUGUAUUUUUAGUAGAGACGGGGUUUCACCGUGUUAGCCAGGAUGGUCUCGAUCUCCUGACCUCGUGAUCCACCCGCCUCGGCCUCCCAAAGUGCUGGGAUUACAGGCGUGAGCCACCAUGCCCAGCCCAAAGUAAGUCUUUUAAUUCCCAGUCUUGGACCACUGUGCAAGACUAAUCGCAAAGUCCCAUGCAAUGCAAAGGGGCUAGGAAAUGUAGUUUCCCUAACUACAAAAAGGUGAAGAGAACUGGUGACAUUGAAUUCUAAUAAUAAUAAUGUUUACCUCAAAACUCCAUCAAAAUAAGACAAGUUUAACUUGAAACUGCACCUGUCUGUACUGGGUUGAAUAAUAUUCCUCAAAAUUUAUGUCUACCAGGAACUUCAGCGUAGGAUCUUUUUGGGAAAUAGGGUCUUUGAAGAUGUAGUUAGUUAAGAUGAGGUCAUACUGCUUUAGGAUGGGCCCUAAACCCAAAGACUGGUGUCCUUAGAAGAAGGUCAUGUGAAGAUUUAGAGAGGCACCCAGGGAGGCUAUCUGUGACAAUGGAGAUAGAGAUUGAAGGGAUGCAUCUACAAGUAAAAGAAUGCCAUUGGUGGCCAGCAGCCACCAGAAACUGGACAUGGAACAGAUUCCCUUCAGAUCAUCCAGAAGAAGCCAGCCUUGUCAAAACCUUGAUUUCAGAAUUCUAGCUUCUAGAACUGUGAAAGAAUAAAUUUCUGCUACUUUAAGCCAAGAAGUUUGUGGUAAUCUGUUAUGGCAACCCUAAGAAAUUAAUAUACCAUCCCCUAAAAAAAAAAAAAAAGUAGUAGGUAGACAGUUAAUCACUUCUCACUUGUUCCUGACCUACAGACAAGUGCAGAAACACAGUCACAGCAGCUCCCCGUAGGGGCUUGGCUUUGUUUUAACUCAGGAUAUUCAUUUUGAAGAAAUAGUCAUAAAAUACAUUACGCUGAACUAUUUAAACUCAACGGGGC
rnacentral:lncRNA from 1 species